rnacentral:tRNA from 1 species
GGAGAGAUGGCUGAGCGGUCCAAAGCACUUGCCUGCUAAGCAAGGACCUGGGGAACUGGGUACGAGGGUUCGAAUCCCUCUCUCUCCA